rnacentral:ncRNA from 1 species
ACAGUACAAACUGAUCAGGCGGUCUACCUCCGAGUUGUUUUGCGAGGUUUUUGCAGCCGGGCCCUUUGGGCAGCAGACUAAAAAGCAAGCGUCUGCGGGACAGU